ACCCUAGAUUUUUUUGGUGCGUAGAAAAGGUAGAAACCAACGUAGAUAGUUUCAAUGAAGACACCAAAUGAGUUAAUAGUGAUGAGAAGUGUUGUGUUGGUCUUCAAAAAUGCAUAGUAAAUCCAAAGCAUGCAGCUAAAGAGAGCAAUCACGUAUGGAAUUGAUUGAUAUCCUUCAGUUGAU